GACGAACGCUGGCGGCGCGCCUAACACAUGCAAGUCGAGCGAAGCGAUUUAACGGAAGUUUUCGGAUGGAAGUUAAAUUGACUGAGCGGCGGACGGGUGAGUAACGCGUGGGUAACCUGCCUCAUACGGGGGGAUAACAGUUAGAAAUGACUGCUAAUACCGCAUAAGCGCACAGCAUCGCAUGAUGCAGUGUGAAAAACUCCGGUGGUAUGAGAUGGACCCGCGUCUGAUUAGCUAGUUGGUGAGAUAACAGCCCACCAAGGCGACGAUCAGUAGCCGACCUGAGAGGGUGAUCGGCCACAUUGGGACUGAGACACGGCCCAA
rnacentral:rRNA from 1 species